rnacentral:rRNA from 1 species
UCGAGGAUCUUCGGCAAUGAGCGCAAGCUUGACCGAGCGACGCCGCGUGGGCGAUGAAGGCCUUCGGGUUGUAAAGCCCUGUCGGGGAGGAGAAAAGCCGAAAGGUUUGAUCUAUUCCCGGAGGAAGCACGGGCUAAGUUCGUGCCAGCAGCCGCGGUAAGACGAACCGUGCGAACGUUGUUCGGAAUCACUGGGCUUAAAGGGCGCGUAGGCGGGCCUCCAAGUCCGGGGUGAAAGCCUCCAGCCUAAC